rnacentral:rRNA from 1 species
GACGAACGCUGGCGGCGUGCUUAACACAUGCGAGUCGAACGGAAAGGCCCUGCUUUUGUGGGGUGCUCGAGUGGCGAACGGGUGAGUAACACGUGAGUAACCUGCCCUUGACUUUGGGAUAACUUCAGGAAACUGGGGCUAAUACCGGAUAGGAGCUCCUGCUGCAUGGUGGGGGUUGGAAAGUUUCGGCGGUUGGGGAUGGACUCGCGGCUUAUCAGCUUGUUGGUGGGGUAGUGGCUUACCAAGGCUUUGACGGGUAGCCGGCCUGAGAGGGUGACCGGCCACAUUGGGACUGAGAUGCGGCCCAGACUCCUACGGGAGGCAGCAGUGGGGAAUAUUGCACAAUGGGCGGAAGCCUGAUGCAGCAACGCCGCGUGCGGGAUGACGGCCUUCGGGUUGUAAACCGCUUUCGCCUGUGACGAAGCGUGAGUGACGGUAAUGGGUAAAGAAGCACCGGCUAACUACGUG